CGGUGAGAAUGACGAGAAGAAGGUGGACGAUGACAAGUCUGCACAGCCCCUAUCCUUUGUGCAGCAGAAGGCAGUUACAAAUGGGAAAAGAACAGAAGAAGAGCAGCUA
rnacentral:rRNA from 12 species